UGAGGAACAUGACCUUCGGCGGGGGAUAGCCGGCCCAACGGCCGGGUAAUACCGCGUACGACCUUUUGGGGACAUCCCUGGAUGGUGAAAGCAGCAAUGCGCCGAUGGAGUGCCUCGCGGCCUAUCAGCUAGUUGGUGAGGUAACGGCUCACCAAGGCGACGACGGGUAGCUGGUCUGAGAGGAUGGCCAGCCACAUUGGGACUGAGACACGGCCCAGACCUCCGUACGGGAGCAG
rnacentral:rRNA from 1 species